GCAUUGGUAGUUCAGUGGUAGAAUUCUUGCCUUUCAUGUGAGGACCCAGGUUCAAUUCCCGGCCAAUGCA